UGUUACGACUUCACCCCAGUCGCUGACCCUACCGUGGCCGGCUGCCUCCUUGCGGUUAGCGCACCGUCUUCAGGUAAAGCCAACUCCCAUGGUGUGACGGGCGGUGUGUACAAGGCCCGGGAACGUAUUCACCGCAGCGUGCUGAUCUGCGAUUACUAGCGAUUCCAACUUCAUGUGCUCGAGUUGCAGAGCACAAUCCGAACUGAGACGGCUUUUUGAGAUUUGCGCAGGAUUGCUCCAUUGCAUCCCACUGUCACCGCCAUUGUAGCACGUGUGUAGCCCAGCCCGUAAGGGCCAUGAGGACUUGACGUCAUCCCCACCUUCCUCGCGGCUUAUCACCGGCAGUCCCCUUAGAGGGCCCAACUAAAUGAUGGCAACUAAGGGCGAGGGUUGCGCUCGUUGCGGGACUUAACCCAACAUCUCACGACACGAGCUGACGACAGCCAUGCAGCACCUGUCUCCGGUCCAG
rnacentral:rRNA from 1 species